GACGAACGCUGGCGGCGUGCUUAACACAUGCAAGUCGAACGGAAAGGCCCUGCUUUUGUGGGGUGCUCGAGUGGCGAACGGGUGCGUAACACGUGAGUAACCUGCCCUUGACUUUGGGAUAACUUCAGGAAACUGGGGCUAAUACCGGAUAGGAGCUCCUGCUGCAUGGUGGGGGUUGGAAAGUUUCGGCGGUUGGGGAUGGACUCGCGGCUUAUCAGCUUGUUGGUGGGGUAGUGGCUUACCAAGGCUUUGACGGGUAGCCGGCCUGAGAGGGUGACCGGCCACAUUGGGACUGAGAUACGGCCCAGACUCCUACGGGAGGCAGCAGUGGGGAAUAUUGCACAAUGGGCGGAAGCCUGAUGCAGCAACGCCGCGUGCGGGAUGACGGCCUGCGGGUUGUAAACCGCUUUCGCCUGUGACGAAGCGUGAGUGACGGUAAUGGGUAAAGAAGCACCGGCUAACUACGUG
rnacentral:rRNA from 1 species